rnacentral:rRNA from 1 species
UACGAAGGGGGCUAGCGUUGCUCGGAAUCACUGGGCGUAAAGCGCACGUAGGCGGAUUUCUAAGUCAGGGGUGAAAUCCUGGAGCUCAACUCCAGAACUGCCUUUGAUACUGGGAAUCUUCGAGUCCGGGAGAGGUGAGUGGAACUGCGAGUGUAGAGGUGAAUUCGUAGAUAUUCGCAAGAACACCAGUGGCGAAGGCGGCUCACUGGCCCGGUACUGACGCUGAGGUGCGAAAGCGUGGGGAGCAAACAGG